rnacentral:rRNA from 1 species
GAUGAACGCUGGCGGCGUGCCUAAUACAUGCAAGUCGAGCGAACAGAUGAGGAGCUUGCUCCUCUGACGUUAGCGGCGGAUGGGUGAGUAACACGUGGAUAACCUACCUUUAAGACUGGGAUAACUUCGGGAAACCGGAGCUAAUACCGGAUAAUAUAUUGAACCGCAUGGUUCAAUAGUGAAAGACGGUUUUGCUGUCACUUAUAGAUGGAUCCGCGCCGCAUUAGCUAGUUGGUAAGGUAACGGCUUACCAAGGCAACGAUGCGUAGCCGACCUGAGAGGGUGAUCGGCCACACUGGAACUGAGACACGGGCCAGACUCCUACGGGAGGCAGCAGUAGGGGAUCUUCCGCGAUGGGCGAAAGCCUGACGGAGCAACGCCGCGUGAGUGAUGAAGGUCUUCGGAUCGGAAAACUCUGUUAUUAGGGAAGAACAAAUGUGUAAGUAACUAUGCACGUCUUGACGGUACCUAAUCAGAAAGCCACGGCUAACUACGUG